rnacentral:rRNA from 1 species
GGGGGAGCAAACAGGAUUAGAUACCCUGGUAGUCCACGCUGUAAACGAUGAGUACUAGGUGUCGGGGGUUACCCCCUUCGGGGCCGCAGCUAACGCAUUAAGUACUCCGCCUGGAAAGUACGGUAGAAAGAGUGAAAACAAAAGGAAUGGACGGAGACCUGCAUAAGGAGCAGAGCAUGUGGUUAAAUGCGAAGGAAAGCGAAGAACGUUACGUAAGCUUGACAUCCCAAUGACAUCGCCUUAAUCGGAGAGGUUCCUACGGGGACAUUGGUGACAGGUGGGGCAUGGUUGUCGUCAGCUCGUGUCGUGGGAUGUUGGGUUAAGUCCCGCAACGAGCGCAACCCUUGUCUUUAGUUGCCAUCAUUAAGUUGGGCACUCUAGAGAGACUGCCAGGGAUAACCUGGAGGAAGGUGGGGAUGACGUCAAAUCAUCAUGCC